ACCCGCGCUUUAUAUAAAAACAAGAUAGGGUGCCUGGUUCUACACCAUUCAACGCCUCCGCGUUCCUCAACCACCAUUCUAGCCUCUCCCUUCUUCUCCAGAUCUACUCUCCAUGGAUUGUUCUCUGUUUAUAUCACCACCGGAUUCGAUCAUACCGUUUGGAGAUCUACAUACUGAUGGUAGUUUUGGGCUCUGAAGCUCUCGUAUUCAGCUCAACGCUUUCAGCUGGUGUUCUUCAUGCUUUGAUAUGGAGAUUCUCAGCUAUGGUGAAGGAGCUUAUUUCCAACCCAGAGAGAUUUCACGCGUUGGAGCGUCUGUUGUGGAUGCGAUGUCGUUUUCCAUCCAGAUCUGAUGUUUCCGGAGGCUAAAGGACGCUGGAGUUCAUGGAAAUCAGUUAUUCUGGUGUGCGUAAUUGUAAAUACAUGAAUGGGAAGAUAGCAAGGAGAUUUAUGUGUGAUAAGUGUUGAUAUGGAUGUAUAAGAUAUCGGCUAGGAUCGGCUCAGUUGAUGGGUCAGAGUCCUGGACCGAUCUUUCUCAUCCGGCCUUUGCCAUGGCAGGUGCGCUUGCAUGGCAGGUCAAAAAAAGAUUAAUAAAAAAAAAAGAGAGAUUUGUUGGUUCAGAGGGGAAGACAGCAUGGGAGUUUGUAUUUUUUGGCCCAGGGUCUUCCCCUCUGUGUGUGCUCUGUGUCCUGCUUGCUUACUUUACUCUGCUUUAUAAUUGCCCGCCUGCAAAUCAUGACCAGAUCUAUCUCCGAUUCUGGGCAUCUGCAACAGCAAUAUUCGUCGCUCCCCCAAGGUAUUAUGCACCUAAUUCUGUAGUACUCUCUAUGCAUAUCUGCCCAGUUACAUUGCAAGUUCUCCAUAGUAAUGCUCAAUUAAUCUCAUUCCAAAGGUAGGACAUUCUUUAACUGGUUACACAAAUUCAACUAGCCUUGGGAUAUACCUGGUUAUGCAAGUUAAAUUAGUCUUCGUGCUUAUAUACAACUUCAACUAAUCUUUUUAAAGACAUUGAAACUAGUGUUUUGGCAUACCAUAUAUACAUGUGAACUUGGUAAAGUCCUGCAUGAUUACAGUUUGCUAUAAAGGAAUUCUGCAAUCCACCUACCGAUCUUUGAGGUAAAGCUGUUAAAUUAUUGUGUUCCAUUGGCCUUCAUAUUUUUAAUAUCAACUCUUAUUCCGAGCUCAAAGUACAUUUGUUAUUUUUAAUAUCAACUCUUAUUCCGAGCUCAAAGUACAUUUGUUAUUUAUGAAUUAUUUUUUGAGUCCCAAAUACGAUGGUAAUGCACAAUUGUGCCUCUGCCUUUUGCAAGUUGAUAACAUGCUAUGAAUAAAUUGUGCCCGUUGGAAGUUAUGUAUAAUUGAAGUGAUUCUAUGAAGCCUUGAUGGCAUGGUCAACUCCAAUUCUAUAUGGUGUUUCAUACAUGUCAUUGUUGGCAUUGCACGUCUACCAGUGUGGUAGCUGUACCGGUUAUAAAGGAGUACAAUAUUUAUCUUGGGCAGUUUAUAUUGCGCUUGUAUUAUCACAAGUUCUCACAUCGUUUUAUUUUGGCAAUUAUGAAUAGUAUCAUUUGGAAGUGACUACAAUUUUGUAUAUUUAAUAUUCGCCCACAGAACUCCUAAGUUUGUUAAUUGAUGUACUGGUUUAUUUUACCUACAGUGUUUCUUUAUGAAAUUGCCCAGAAUUCUUGAGUUUGCCAUUUGAAUCUAUUUUACAUGUGUUUUUUGUUCACUAUGGUACAAUGGUUACAGUGACUACAAUUACUUUUGCGUAUUUAAUAUCUGUGCUCGGAAUUCUUCAGUUUUGCCAUUGAUCUACUGGUUUAUUUUACCUGCAGUUUUUGCUGUGGGACAUUGGUUUCUAAAAUGCUUUCCAUGCAAAGCUAAAAUGGGAUGAAUGUGUUGCCAUUUGAUCUAUUUUACCUGCAUUUGUUGUUACUUACAGUGGUUGGCUUCAGUUGUAAUUGCUUUCUAUACAAGCAAAAAUGGGAUUUAAAGACAAAUAUAAAUGCAUGCGUAUAAUGAUGGAUAAGCUAUGAGAAGGCAAAGAUGGUAUCGGUCUUUGUGUGAAAUUUCUGCAAGACCAAGUACGUCUUAUCAUGGAGAUGAUGGGAAGGAUGCGAAACAAUUGGUUUUUCAAUGAUGCAGUGGUUUUUAACAUGUUGGCAAGAAAAAUUAACAGUUGGUAGUCUUCUAAACCCUAGUGGUGUCAUUUUAUUUUGGCCCUUGUGUGGGUUAAUUGAAAUCAAGAUCUGUAAGCUCAAAAAUGGUAGAGCGCUCAAAGGCCUUUGGGCUUUUGAGAGGUUGGUGGUUCGAAUCCACCCUGAUCUGCAGUUUGUCAUCUAUGACUGUAGUGAAUAUUCUAGUCAAAGUUGUUACCUACUUGAACCCCCAAAUUUAUUACUUAUGUCUUUGUUUUUACUCAUAGAAAUUUUCUUUCAAACCUUAGCCGCACAACAUGAAAAUGAAAUCAAACCUUAGCCGUUGAUUAAUAAGAUAAGUUAUUAAUCACAACCGUCUAUCUCAUAGCGCGCAACGACAAUUAGGUGUGAGAGGCUGUUGAUUAUUCCCCGCUUUGCCUUAUCCUUCCCUUCCGUUUUGCGUUCGCAAAGUCUCUCGAUCUUCCUUCCAUGGAUCGUAUUCCUGAGAUUAUGAAUCUCGAAUUCGAUCUUAUCGCUUCGAGAUGUACACGUUGAUGUCAGCUUCUGCCGGCGUGGACUCAAAUUAACCGCUAUGGCGAUGGCGACGGAGCUUUGGCGGUUAUGAUAUCCACAGCCGGCGUUGUUCUGUCGAGAUCGGAUGCUGUGGUCACCGACUGUUGCUCUGUUAAAUGUUACUGGUUGAUUAUUCCGCUUUGAUGGGUAUAAUUGUAACUUUUUGAUGAUUGGGGAUGUAUUAAGGUAUGGGGACGAUAGGCUCUGGGUUGAGGGGUUGUGGUCUGGACCGAUCUUUGUCAUCCGGGCUUUGCCAUGGCAGGUGCGCUUGCAUGGCAGGUCAAAAAGAUUAAUAGUAAAAGAGAACAUUUUUUGGUUUGAGGGGGGAGACAGCAUGGGGAUUUUUAGCCCAGGGUCUCUUCCCCUCUGUGUGCUCUGUGUCCUGCUUCCUUGCUUGCUUUCUACUUUAUAUUUUCUCCCACAUCCCGAGCAGGCAGCAUUGGGAUUCUUGGGACGAUACAGCAAUUGGUCGCCAUGAGGUAUUAUCUGCAAUCCUGCCUAAUAUCUGAUAUGCAUGACAUGACACUAAUUUGUCCAUCCACUAUGCAAAUCACCUAUUAUGCACAAUUCUGAUCAUAAGCAUCCAGUUUAUGCACUAAAACUAUCAGUACACCGGAAAUUUCUUAAUUAUGUUGCACAAUUAUACUUAUCUUCAAUGUCGCCACAAGUAUAUGGAUAUAAUAGUAUAUGAUCUGAGAAGUGUUCAGUGCUUGAGUAUGGAGUUGGGCAAACUUUGUCAGUGGGAUUGAAACAAAAGGUUUAGAUUCAUCAGUCUCUAUUCCCACAUUACAUAUUUUAUUUCUGCAAGGAGCUGUGUGUGGUUCUUGAUUGUAAACAGUUAAGAAUGCCAUUAAUCUCAGUAUUUUGGGAUGCCAUUGUGCAAGUAUUAUUUUAUUUUAUAAUGCUAAAAUCCUCUACAACUAUUGCCUCUUGGUCUCUAUUUUUAACAAUGCCAAAAUUGUAUAUGGGAUGCAUCUGCACCCUCUGUAAUCAAGUGUAUUAUCUUUAGCUGUUUGCUUUGCUAGUCCUGUGUUAGCAUUACAAGUAGUUGGUUCUGAGGGUGUGUGGCCUCUUGGGGAUAUUUGUUCCAGCUUUAGUUUUGAAAUGAUGUUGCUGUCAAUUUCAAGCUGUCUGCUGUUCUACUUUUCGGACAUCAAGGUGAAUAAAAGCCUUUCAAGAGGAGUAUUUUUAUUGUUU